rnacentral:rRNA from 1 species
GACGAACCGUGCGAACGUUGUUCGGAAUCACUGGGCUUAAAGGGCGCGUAGGCGGGUGUGCAAGUCUGUGGUGAAAGCCUCCAGCUUAACUGGAGAAGUGCCAUGGAUACUGCGCAUCUUGAGGAGGGUAGGGGCAUCUGGAACAUUGGGUGGAGCGGUGAAAUGCGUUGAUAUCCAAUGGAACUCCGGUGGCGAAGGCGAGGUGCUGGACCCUUCUGACGCUGAGGCGCGAAAGCCAGGGGAGCAAACGGGG